rnacentral:piRNA from 1 species
UGUAUAUAAGUAUGAUAUACCACAGGGAAA